CUCACUCUCCAUGCUGAUGAUUCUCUGAGUGAGUAGGCUCAGGAGGUGAUCUGGGAGAAUCGAUAUUGAUUCAUUCAAAUAAAGGUUCAUACCUUCAUCAUAGCUGCUGAGACACACUGGUCGUUUUUUCCUCUUGGGAACGUCAUCAGAGCUCUCCACAAGACUGCACAGCUGCUCUUUUUGACCACUUUUUAGCAGUUGUAACGAAUUGAGGCGAAUCAAACACAACUUCAUCAAAUUCAUCUCUCAUGGGAUUAAUUCAAAUGUGAUCCAGCUCUCCAGAGCCUGGUGCUCACAUUCCAUUGACUGGAUGGCUCCAAAAGGUCUGCUUUGGGGGACAAUAAACCCCCCCUCAGAAGACUUUUUGUGGCCCUGCAGAUAACAACAGAACGCCACAGGAAGGGGGCCACCCUUUGAUCCUGGACAGAGAUGUCACACAGAUCUUUUCUUUUUCUAACACAGUGACCUCACUGUUGAGAUCUGAGAUCUCACACAUCAAAUUAAAACUCACACAGAACAAUUCUUGGACUUAUAACCAAACAUCAUAAUUCUUAUUGCUUUCUGCAGUUCAUGUGUUGUGGUUGUUAUGCUUAGAUCACAUAUUAAUCAUGCAAUUGUUGUUAACUAUUAACUCUUGUAAUUGUUAUACAACUCUUAGAAGUGUGAAUGCCUUGUGUUUACUAUCAAAAGAAUCGUACGCUCUUAAUUGAAAAGACGGCUUGAUUGAAAUCUGUGUAAAAUGUUUUGUAUUCUUAUAAAUCUAUAAUGUUUAAAAUGUGGUCUCUUGUAAAGCGAGAAGCUCACAGAUCACAAGAUAGUGAUAAGCAAGAAAUAGAUCCACCUCCCAAAAUUAUGCCAUUUUCCCAUUGGUCAGAAUUUUUCCAGGAGGUUGGACUAACUUUUAAGUUAAAGACCCGAACAAAGGAGCAAGACAUCAUGUUCAGUUUGUUAAGUUCGUUCGUGUUCAGCCUAGUCUUUUAACUGUUAAUUUCGUGCCUCUAUCUAAAACAGCAAGAGAGUGUUCCUGUUCGCGCGCUUUUCUAAACCUCUUGGGCGCGUUCGUCUAGAAACUCAUCAAGAAACCACGACGACACCGGCCAGACCAAAUUAGACCAGCAGACAAAAUAACCUAUCAAGAUCGGGGUUUAAACAUCUCAUUCAAGCCAUCUAACUCGUCUUAUUUUCAUUUCUUUCUCUAAUUUUCUUUUUCGUAAAAGUCUCGGUUCAAAGUUAAGUUGCUGCAAAGUUACGUUUACAUGUCUCUCCGGCAACGCGCUUUCAACUCCCAAAGACUCUCAUUCGCCUGCUAAUCACACAUGACCGGCAGCGAAUUUUCCUUCUUCUUCUUCUUCUUCUUCUCUGGGUUUUAUGGCGGAUCGCAACCAACUUGUACAGGUGCAUACCGCCACCUACUGUGCCGGAGUGUGCAAUAUCAGGGUUUUAAUACAGGUUACAGGUUAUAAGUAAAAAAA